rnacentral:rRNA from 1 species
GUCAACUUUCGAUGGUAGGAUAGAGGCCUACCAUGGUGGUAACGGGUAACGGGGUGUUAGGGCACGACACCGGAGAGGGAGCCUGAGAAACGGCUACCACAUCCAAGGAUGGCAGCAGGUGCGCAAAUUACCCAAUCCCGACACGGGGAGGUAGUGACAAUAAAUAACAAUACGGGGUUCUUUCGGAUCUCGUAAUUGGAAUGAGUACAAUUUAAAUCUCUUAACGAGGAACAAUUGGAGGGCAAGUCUGGUGCCAGCAGCCGCGGUAAUCCCAGCUCCAAUAGCGUAUAUUAAAGUUGUUGCAGUUAAAAAGCUCGUAGUUGAAUUUCGGGAUCAAUGUUUCGGUCAUGCCGUUGGUAUGUACUGAUAUUAUUGAUUUCUCACCUUCUAAAGAACCGUAAUGCCAUUAAUUUGGUGUCACGGGGAAUUAGGACUGUUACCUUGAAAAAAUUAGAGUGUUUAAAGCAGGCUCACGCUUGAAUACAUUAGCAUGGAAUAAUGAAAUAGGACAUCCGAUUCUAUUUUGUUGGUUUCUAGGAUCGAUGUAAUGAUUAAUAGGGAUAGUUGGGGGCAUUAGUAUUCAAUUGUCAGGGGUGAAAUUCUUAGAUCUAUUGAAGACUAACUACUGCGAAAGCAUUUGCCAAGGAUGUUUCCAUUAAUCAAGAACGAAAGUUAGGGGAUCGAAGACGAUCAGAUACCGUCGUAGUCUUAACCAUAAACUAUGCCGACUGGGAAUCGGGCGAUGUUGACAAAAUGACGCGCUCG